AACACAUGCAAGUCGGACGGUAGCACAGAGAGCUUGCUCUUGGGUGACGGAGUGGCGGACGGGUGAGUAAUGUCUGGGGAUCUGCCCGAUAGAGGGGGAUAACCACUGGAAACGGUGGCUAAUACCGCAUAACGUCGCAAGACCAAAGAGGGGGACCUUCGGGCCUCUCACUAUCGGAUGAACCCAGAUGGGAUUAGCUAGUAGGCGGGGUAAUGGCCCACCUAGGCGACGAUCCCUAGCUGGUCUGAGAGGAUGACCAGCCACACUGGAACUGAGACACGGUCCAGACUCCUACGGGAGGCAGCAGUGGGGAAUAUUGCACAAUGGGCGCAAGCCUGAUGCAGCCAUGCCGCGUGUAUGAAAAAGGCCUUCGGGUUGUAAAGUACUUUCAACGGGGAGGAAGGCGAUGUGGUUAAUAACCGCGUCGAUUGACGUUACCCGCAGAAGAAGCACCGGCUAACUCCGUGCCAGCAGCCGCGGUAAUACGGAGGGUGCAAGCGUUAAUCGGAAUUACUGGGCGU
rnacentral:rRNA from 1 species